rnacentral:miRNA from 1 species
CUCAUCCAGGUGCCAGUAGGUAUGGUCUCGCUGGGGCCUCCAAAUGUUCUAUUCAAAUCAGUGAGGAAAUAAGAGGACAUCCAGUUUUAGCAAAGUUAAAGUCUUUAAUAG